CAUUUUUAGUUAGUACUGUUAAACUACUGUAUGUUUUGUCACCAUAGAUUUGUAGUAAAUGGUAAAUAUUCAUCUUUAAAACUACCUACUGAUUUAUGAAAAUCCGCCCCCCCACCUGGCCACCUCGUUUGGAAGCGACCCACAGUUGAACUGAUUCCCCACAGCCCCCCCCCCCUCCCUUCUUCAUACAUUUCCAGCAGGAGCGUGUGCAGCUGCACCUAGUGGCGCCAAUUCGCUACAUGGCGGUGCUGUCGGAAUUUUUAUUUUUUCAUCUAGCACGCAACCGUCACCCUCUUGAAGACGAUCCAGCUCAGUUUUGAGCAUGCGGAAACGUGGGGGUGCUCCGUGCUCACCUCUCAGCCAGCACCCUUCACCCCGCGCCCCCUCCCUUCUCCUUCUUCAUACACAUUUGCGUCUACUUCUCAAAGACAGGAGAGAGAGUGCAGCUGCGGGACGGGGGCAUUGCCAGCUUACAGGCUGUUACAAACUCUGUGACAUACGUAAACCAAUAGUGGUGCAUAAAUUAUUUUACAAGGGCUGAGCCUCCGGCGCCGCCCCCCUUCAUUUCGCACCCCGGGCCACCGCCUGUAUUGCCUCAAACCGCUACUGCUGAAGACCACAGUUUGAUUCCAGGAAAUGUUUAGAAAAAAAACAACAAGCAUCAGCUGAUAGUUAUUGACUUGAUGAAGAAGAGUCCUCCAUGUUGUUGAUCCAACAAUGAUGAAGCUUUGGAAACAGCAGAGUGAUGAGAGUUUGCAGAGAAAGAAGAAGAUCUUCUCCAAACAUUCAGAAACAAACAGUCAAGUUAGUGAAGACAAAGUUCCAGAAACAAACUCACUUCAGUUUCUGCAAAGAGAUGAAGAGGAAGAAGAAGAAGAGUCUCCACUCACCGUGUCAACGCAGCUGCAGCACAGAUCACUGACCCACAACCAGGAAGAGUCCACCUGGUAGGAGGCGGGGCAGCACAGGUGGGCGGGGCAGCACAGGUGGGCGGGCAGCAGGUGGAGCCGCUGAAGUGGAAUUAUAGGCCGCCUUCACACUGCAUGGUUCAAGUGACCCAAUUCCGAUCUUUUCCUCUCACCUGGCACAGAUCAGAUAUGAUCGGUGAACGUGUAAGCAGGACAAAAGCGCAUGGACUCUGUUUUUUCUCAGAUCGGAUACAGGCCUCUCUCAUAUGUGGAAAUAAAUCGGAUACGAAUCGGAUACGUGCAUUUGCGUGUGCCAUGUAAGCAGACAGAUCGGAUAUUCCCCAGUAAAUGCGAGUCGUACCUCAGUGACAUCAACUCAGGACACCACCAACUGAGAUCACAUGACUUAUUAAAGUGCUUUUGUGCGCUGAUUUUGCUGUCAGCGUGUUACCUUUAAGCCUCAGGCUUAAGACCGUAGUUGGAAACCGCUGUUAUGUCCGGUCCGGUCCCGGUCGG
rnacentral:lncRNA from 1 species